rnacentral:rRNA from 1 species
GACAGAGGUGCCGAGCGUUAGGCGGAAUCACUGGGCUUAAAGCGUGUGUAGGCGGGUCCGUAAGGACCUUGUGAAAUCCCAUGGCUCAACCAUGGAACUGCUUGGUAUACUGCGGAUCUUGAGCCACCUAGGGGCAAGUGGAACAAACGGUGGAGCGGUGAAAUGCGUAGAUAUCGUUUGGAACGCCAAUGGUGAAAACAACUUGCUGGGGGUGUGCUGACGCUGAGACACGAAAGCCAGGGGAGCAAACGGG